CUGAAAGCUACCAGCUGUGACUCCUCUCCAAAACCUGCUUCCCAGCCAAUUCUCAGAGCCAAAAUGGUUGCUGGCUCCCAACCCUCUGGUUUCACCUGGCUUUGCCGAGGAGGAAGCCAGGCUUUAGAGGCCAAGCAAACCGUCCAGGGAUGCAGAGCUGGGAGGUGGCAGAGCCACCAUGGAAACCAGAGUCCAUCUGGUCCUGGAGCCUGUGCUACUUCUGCCGGCUCCCGAGUUUCCCGGGGCAGGGCCUUCAGGGCCCAGGGUGGCCUCUGGGGAGAGUCUGAUGAGGACAGCGAGUGCCUGCUGUGACACCUGGUGGCCGCCGCACUGCAAGGAGCUCCUCUGUGAAGCCUGCCCUGCCUGAUGGUCUGGCAGGAGUUGGAGGUCCCAUCCACAUUCAUGAGGGUGCUUUGGAAU
rnacentral:lncRNA from 1 species